AGUGAACGCUGGCGGUAGGCCUAACACAUGCAAGUCGAACGGCAGCACAGUAAGAGCUUGCUCUUACGGGUGGCGAGUGGCGGACGGGUGAGGAAUACAUCGGAAUCUACUUUUUCGUGGGGGAUAACGUAGGGAAACUUACGCUAAUACCGCAUACGACCUACGGGUGAAAGCAGGGGAUCUUCGGACCUUGCGCGAUUGAAUGAGCCGAUGUCGGAUUAGCUAGUUGGCGGGGUAAAGGCCCACCAAGGCGACGAUCCGUCGCUGGUCGGAGGGGAGGAUCGGCCCCCAUGGACCGAGGAACCGUCCCCCCCUCCGCCGGGAGGCAGCAGUGGUGAGUAUUGGUCAACGGGCGCAACCCUGCUCAAGCCAUACCGCCGGGUUGAAGAAGGCCUUCGGCUUGUAAAGCCCUUUUUUGGGGAAAGAAAAGCGCAAGGUUAAUACCCGUCUGUUCUGCGGGUCCCUAAAGAAUAGCCCCGGCUAACUUCGUG
rnacentral:rRNA from 1 species